AAUUUUUUUGUUUUAGGAGUAUUGGUUAUUGUAUAACGUUUUAAGAUAAUUUAUCAUUGAAUAUGAAAAAUAGAAUACCAAGGUAAAAGAUUUUUUUGAUUUGUUGUUACAAAUUUAUUUUGAAGGGAUCUUGGUGUUGAUAUAUCGUCUUGGUGGUUAACUUUUUGUGAGGGUGAGUAUUAGAAAGUUAUGCUGUAAGUUUGAUAGCUUAGUGUUAGAAAGAAUUAGUAUUUUGGAUUAAUGUCAAAUUUUGUGUUUGUUUUAUAAUGUGUAGAUUACAAGAUUUUGUAGUUUUUAGAGUUUGAAAUUUAGUAGAUAUGUUAAAUUUAGUUUGAUUAAUUUGAAUAUUUGUGGAGAAUUAGUAGUUAUGUUAAAUGUUUAUUAAAGACUGAUGUUUUAUUUUAGAACUUUUCCCUGCUCAAUGUGUUUUUAUAAAUGGCUGUCUUAGCGUGAGGACUUUAAGGUAGCGAGGUUAAUUGUGCUUUUAAUGGGUUCUAGUAUGAAUGGGGGUUUAAUGUAUUAUUUUCUUUAAUUGAUUUGAAUUAUGGUGGCUAUUAAAAAUUAUAGCUUUUAAUUAGACAAAGAUAAGUCUUCGGAAAUUAGGUAGCUAAUUUUAAUUGUUGUAAUUUGGUUGUUUAUUUAGGGUAAAAUGAACUAGGUAGUGUUAAAAAACUAUGGUUAAUAAUUAUAAUUACUUCGGAGUUAACAGAAAUACUUACUAUAAAAAGAUCUUAUUUUUUAGUAAGUUUUACAUCGAUGUUGUAUCUUGGUUGUAGUGAGGGUAGGACUUUAUUAUUUUGAGACUGUUCUUCUUUAAAAUCAAACGUGAUAUUAGUUUAAUUCAUCGUGAGAUAGAGUGGUUUAUCUUGUUAAUUAAGGUGUUGUUUUUUUUUGUAGUACGAAAGGAAACAGAAUGUGGCUUUAAGUUUGUGCAAA
rnacentral:rRNA from 1 species